rnacentral:rRNA from 1 species
UGGGGAAUCUUGCGCAAUGGGCGAAAGCCUGACGCAGCAACGCCGCGUGGGGGAUGAAGGCUCUCGGGUUGUAAACCCCUUUCAGCAGGGACGAACCAAGACGGUACCUGCAGAAGAAGCCCCGGCUAACUACGUGCCAGCAGCCGCGGUAACACGUAGGGGGCAAGCGUUGUCCGGAUUUAUUGGGCGUAAAGAGCUCGUAGGUGGCUGAGUAAGUCGGAUGUUAAAUCCCCAGGCUCAACCUGGGACACCACCCGAUACUGCUCUGGCUAGAGUCCGGUAGGGGAGCGUGGAAUUCCUGGUGUAGCGGUGAAAUGCGCAGAUAUCAGGAGGAACACCAGCGGCGAAGGCGGCGCUCUGGGCCGGUACUGACACUGAGGAGCGAAAGCGUGGGUAGCAAACAGG